GGAUGUGAGGGUGAUUUGGCCGUGACAUCUGUCACCCCAUUGAUCUGCAGGGUUGAUUUGGCUGGUGUGGCUGGCUAGGCGAGUGUCCCCCUGCUCCUUCACUGUUCCAUAUGUGUCCCUAGGACAAACUUCCAUAAAUAGAGGUGGAGUGUUCUUCAGUCAAGGACGUAUGAGUAGCCAAACUCCACUGCUAGCACCUUCAAUCAGUUGUCCAAGUCCAUUGGUAGGAAAACGUAGGUUAGUCAAGCUUCCAAGGCUCCAGACACAUUUAAAUGAGGCGCUGCAUGUGGUCAUCUGCCUUUCU
rnacentral:snRNA from 1 species